GAUCGCAAAGAAAAUUAGAAUGUAUUGUUAUCUAUACUUCUGAAGUGGCAACGCAUUCUGAUAGCUGCAGUGAACAAGUGCAGUACUGUAAGAAUAAAACAGGAAGGGAUAAGGAAGAGAAACGUAAGCAAAUGCUGUAUCUCUGCAAAAUGCCUUCUAUUCUACAAUGAAAAAUAUCUUGCUUUAUAUGCUGUUAGUAUGGACAACUCUAUACAGCAACAUCAACACGGUAAUUUUAAAUUCAUUUGUAUUUUUCCUUUUUGCCAUCGACGAGGAGGCUUGCUUACAAACAUACAGCAAAGACGGUUUAAGCUUAAGUAAUUUAACCUUUUCAGCAUAAUGAAGAAAAAAAGAGCUGACAUGUAAUAACAGUCUAUUCCAGACUAUAAAUAUUGGUAACUAGACAGGAAAAAAAUGCCGACAGUAUGAACCACUGCAGUAGGUUACAGUGGGAAGGGUACAGGGCAAGAGGUUGAAAUGCUCUAUGGAUUUCCUGAAGACAGCCUGUAACCUCCUAAUGCUCCCAUUCAAGAAUCUUGAAUUCUAAGGUGAGCUGAAAACUAGGAGGUGUACAUAUGGAACGUCUGACUGCUUAAAGCUUGUGUAGUGUUUAUGAGGAUUUUAGGAAACAUAUAGUAAUUGAAAAAUAGGUUGAGACUGCAUUAUAAAUUUAAAUUAGAAGUAUACACCACAGGUGAUAAGCUUGCAGAUCUGAGGAGGUAGAAAAAGAAGAUUGACACAAACAUCAUCAAAUUUGUGCCUUUUUUUUUCUUUUUUUCCUUAACAUAGCACAUGUCUCUGGUAGGUUUUGGGUUUUUUUUUUUUCUUCUCCUGACUGUAGGCAAUGACAGUUCUUUUAAGGGGUAGAGUCCGUGCGGCCGUAGAUGAAAAGCCUGAAGGCUACUUUCAGAACGCAAGGCAAAUCCACAUCAAACUAGACCCCCACCUAAGUCAGACCUGGCUAGGUAGUUUUAAAUUAGAACCAAAUGGAUUUCAGAUGAAGGGGAGGGAGGGAUGGAAGAAUUACUAGGCAUGACAAGAAAAAAGAGCAUUUGAUGGUACCAGCUACAACACUUUGUUAUGAAAAGAAAACACUGUAUUCCUUAUAUGAAGCAUGUAUAUGGUAUCUUUCAUUAUUUAUAAUGAAAGUGUGGCAAUCUUUUAUCUUGGUUCAGUUAUUCAGAAGUCCUGUACUUAGGUUGAUUUUUUUAUUUUGUAAUUGUGUACACCAUACAUUGCAUUACUGCUAUACAUGUAUUGCUUUGUAAGUACACAAAGUUUGUUUUGUUUUUUUAGUGACUAAUAAACGUAAGGUAGUACUAUUCUGGUGCAGGAUGUGACCAGGUAUGCAGAUCGUUAAUCUAGAUUAAUGUCAUAGUCUGUCAUCUGGGAAUAAUCUGAUUCUAUCCUAAAAGUAGGUCAUAUCAUUUGCCAAAUUUUUCUUGACUGUGACAUGCUAAUUUACUUUUUUGUUUAGCUUCACUAACAUUAUUUUGCCACCUUUUAAUUGUAUUUAUAAAAAAAUGUAUUAUCAUUACUUGGGAUUGUUGUGCUGACAUAAUGGGGGUUUAACAUCAAUAAAUAUUACACAAAUAGAAAGUUUUCCUUCUGGUAAAGACUUGACUGUUUCUGUACAAGCAUGCAAGUGUAAGAUGUAGAAAUUUUAAGUAUUAUGAAUACAGAUGAAAUGAGGGCUAUAUGCAGUAUCUAGAAAUGACUACAAUUUAUCAGAAUAUUCUGCUUCUGACCCAGAAUCUCAUUCAAACAAAACAGAGGAACAUGGCCCGUAAGUUCUGAGAAACUUCUGCCAAAUAAAAGUACUUGAAGAUGCUUUUUAAAAAAAGGUUAGAAAAUAUGCAGGUCUAUUUUCCAUGUCUAGUAAUUGCAAUAUGACAUCACAACCGACUAAGUAAAAGGCAUGGUUGAAGUGUUGUUAAAUUCAUUUAAGAACAGUCUUCUAACAAGGCAGUAUCAAAAUUUGAAAUGUUAAACUUUACUUUUAAAAAUCCUGCAUGUUACCUAGCUUCUCCUUUCCUUUCAGUGCAAAGACAUGAGGAAAGAUGCAAGAUAAAUUUUUUUUUCCUUUUAGGUUUACUUUUCAAGUGUUGAUUACUACAAAGAGAAUUAUCUCAGCAAUUAAGACUAAAACAAGAAGUCCUGACUUUUUGCAAGACUUCAGGUUUGGCUAUGGGAAGACUUCAAAUUCUUUAGGAAGCUGAUCAGCCCAAGCGUAUUCAAAGCGAUCAAAGACUCAAUGCAGCUACAUUCAGGAUGAUGACACAAACCUCUGUCAAGUGUGUCGAUAGUGAGGUGCAAAAUUCCACACCCAUGAAGGUUUGUUCAGCUGGUGGUGUACCUUAACACACAAUGCCUUUAUCCUGCAACUUCACAACAGCAACAAUUACUUAACACACCCCUUCCCUUCCCGCCCCCCCCCCCCCAUCACCACCAACUGGGGAUCAAAACUAGAGUCCAGUUUGAAGCCCUGGCUUAUAAAAUCAUAGUUUCUUUCUGUAUUGCCACUUUCAAAGGCCCUUUUAAUUCCCUUAGGUUGUAUGGUAAUAAAUGCCUUGAUUCCCCA